UUUGGAUCGUUUGACUACGACUGAGGAGUCUUUCAACAAAGGAGCCCGUUAGUUCAUAGAAUGAGAAGCUAUGCUACUGCAAGGGUUUCAUUUCAGUUGAUACAAAUUACCUAUAAAUUUUUUCUUUUCCCUUUUUUACACUUUAUUACUGCUACCAUAGUGUGAUUGGGAGGACGAAACUAACAAAGAAAAGCUGACAGUGAGGAAUAAAAACAAUAACAAUGGUGAAGUUCCUGAAGCCAAAUAAGGUGGUGGUUGUCCUUCAAGGUUGUUAUGUCAGUCGUAAGGCGGUGAUUGUCAAAUCCUUUGAUGAAGGAACCCUUGACUGCUCUUACAGUCACUGUUUAGAUGCAAUGAUUAAGAAAUACCUAUUUCAAAAAAGCAAAUGAAAAUUUCAAGAGUGAUAAAGAACCCAAAGUGAAAAGGAAAAUAAUGGUAAUGAUUAGAUGAUUAGAAAGUAAAGGAAAAUUUUAUGCGUUUUUGAAGGAAAAAAAGAGAAAAAAAAAACGAAACACACAAAAGAGAGGUAGAAGACGAAGAGGUCAGAUAGAAAUUGUGAAAGGAAAAAAUGAAAAAAAAAAGAGGAAAAAGAAAGAAAGAAAGAAAAAGAAGUUGCAGUGGUCAAAGAGGAAGAAGAAGACGAUGAAGGAAAGAAAAUUUCAAAGGAAAAAAAAUGAUUUUUAAAAAUAUAAAUGAAAUGGAAAAUAAUUAAAGGUGCUAGCUUUUCAGGCCAAAGGGAGUGACACGUGGCAAGGUGCAAGUGGCCAGCGAUACCACGUCAGUAAAAAAUUAACGCUGUUAGUCUCAGGUACCAAUAUAGUGGAGGAAAAAAAGUUUGAGUACCAAUCUAGGAUAAAAAAAACCAUAAGUACCAAUCUGGGAUAAGUGGACAAGUUCGAAUACCAAUUUUAUAUUUAACCUUUAAUUUAACGUUAAAGUAAUUAAGUUUAAUCAUAGUUGAACUCUCUAAACUCUCCUUAUUAAAUAGAGCAUUUGGUCAUUAUCUACAAACACUUGAAUUCAAAAGAAAGUUUUAAAGAAAAAAUUUCUGAAGAAAUUAUUUUAAAAAAUUUCUAGAGAUAUUUUUAUUAUUUAUAACUUGGCCGAAAAGUUUAGAGAAAUUAUAAAAUUACCUCACUGGUAAUUUUUGUGAAAAAGUUUCUAAUUCGAUAUGAGCCUACACUCUGCAAACGUAAGCUUGAGGAUAGCGAAGAAGACUACUUGGUCGAAGCGUUCAUCCUAGAUGAAUAAAAAAGGUACAAUUUUGGAAGACAAUUCUAAUACAGAGUUUGUCACUCUAGCACGUCUCUAGUCUGCUACUCUAGCAAGUUUUGUUUUGAUUAAGUUCUCGUUAGGGAUUAUUUUCAUUUAGAUUGGAAUCGGUGGAAAUAGAAAAUGAAUUGGCAUAUCUAGCAUUAGAUGAUGAGGAAAAGGAGAUUUUAUAGGUACUCAAAAAGGUUGAUCCUGUAAAGGAAAUUUAUGAUCUUUUCCUGGUUGGGUGCUUUCUCACUGAAAGCGUGAUCCAUUUUCUGGUAAUGAGGAGCACAAUGGUUAAUCUUUGGCAUCCUAUGAAAGGGGUUUAGAUUUCACAUCUGGGGAGAAAAAGUUUCUGUUUCAACUUUUUCAUAAUUUGGAUCUUGACUGAGUGCAAAAUGGAGCUCCAUGGACCUUUCAUAAUCAUCUUUUGGCGAGUCAUUAAUUGGAUGAUGAAAAGUAUCCACUUAAAGUACCGUUAGUACAUAUGUGUUUUUGGGUACAAGUUCAUGAUUUGCCGUCAGGGUUUUUCUUUGAGUAUAUAGCUAAACAGUUGGGAGAUUUUCUUGGGAAUCUUUUGGAAUAUGAUACUAAAAGUUUAGAAAGGGGUUUGAAUGAUCAUAUGCAGAUCCGAGUUCGGAUGGGUGUUAGAUGUCUGUUGAAAAGGAAAAAUAGGCUUAUGUUUCCUCUAGCUAAAUGUUUGUACGUCAACUUUAAAUAUGAAAAACUGACUUUGUUCUACUUCUUCUAUGGUUGUUUGGGGCACAUUGACUUUUCUGUCAGAUCAGAAUAGCCAAAGGAAUAGAAAUAGUGAAGAUGGGGUGGGACCAAUUAAUUACAGAUCAAUCAAGAAAAGCUAUUACAAUGAACAAUAUAUGGUUAAGGGGAGAAGGAUGAGGAGGGAUAAAGGAAGAUGGAUUCGAUCAUAAUAGAUCAGGGGCGAAAUCUCAGGAGGAGGGUAUAAAUUUAGACAGACGUAUUGAUUUCGUCUUGGGGUUAAAUCUGAAGAGAGAUCCGAAAUACAUGAAGGUAUAUGUGAGGAUCCCUCCAAAGUACAGGGUCUAAUGGAAAUGGAAUACGAUUCGAAGGAUUGUCCAAUGAUGGAAAGAAAAUACUGAGAAAGAAGAAAGAUAUCACAGAGGAUUGAUUGUGGCCAAUUCAAUGGGAGGACGAGAUAGAGGAUUCUUGGUUCGAGACCAAUUGUUAUCGACAACUGUUAAGAGGUAAGCCAAUCGGUUGUAAUGAAAAUAAUGUGUUGGAAUGUCUGUAGUUUUGGGAGUUCACGGACUAAUAGAAGACUUAGCAUACGCUGAAGGUGUAUAAUCCCCAAUUGGGCUUCCUGAUGGAGAUUAAGUUAGAUGAUAGAAGAAUGGAAAAUGUGAGGAAAAGAUGUGGUUUUUUAAAUGAGAUAGAUGUUUGGGUUGAUGGCUCAUGAGAGAGUCUUUGUUUGGCUUGGAAGGUGACUAUUAUAAUUAAUUUAAGGAGUUUUUCCAAAAAUCAUAUCAAUGUCACUAUCCAAGAGACUACAAAAGAGAGGGAAUGAAAGUUUACUGGUUUCUAUAGGGCCCUAUUUGCAAGUCAUAUGAGUGACUCAUGAAAUGUGUUCAUGAAUUUAGGACGUACUAAAUAGUUACCUUGGUUACUGUGUGGUGAUUUCAAUGAGAUUUUGCAUUCUUUUGAGAAGGCUGGGGAUAUUCCAAGGGAGGAAAGGAGCAUGAAGGUUUUUAUAGGAGUUCUAGAAAGGUAGUUAAUAGAUGUGGGAUACUCUGGGUCGUGGUUCAUGGGAAAUGGGAAAUUUGUUGGAGAUUAAUAUAAAGAAAGAGGCUGGAUAGAGGAAUGGCAAAUGAUGAAUGGAUGAAUAUGUUUUUGAAUGCUUUAAUUCAAAACUUGCCACAUUCUUAUUCGGACUAUUGUCUGUUCCUUAUACAUUCGGAGAAGGAAGAAAAUGGGUCAAGGAGGAAAAGGUUUCGAUUCGAAGCAUGGUGGACAAUGGAAGAUUCUUUUGAGGGGGAGGUAAUGUGAAUCUGAUAUUCCAAGUUAAGGGGUAUUUUUUAAAAGUUUGAGAGUUUAUAGAAAGGUCUGGGAAGUUGGACGAGAUUUAUCAAAAAUGGAAGAAACAACCUGAAGAGGGAAUUGACUAGGAAGUUGGAGGAGAUGAUGGAUAAGGAAAACAAUGAUGAAAAUCUGGUAAAUUUUAUUGAUACAAAAAUUCAACUGAAUUUGGAAAUUGGCAAGGAUAAAGCCUUUUGGGAAUAAAAAGCGCAUGCUAAUUGGUUACCAUUGGGGGACAAGAACAUAUCUUUCUUUCAUAACUUCACUUCUCAUCGUCGAAGAAUGAAUACAAUUAAAUGCUUGGAGCAUGGAGAUGGAAUGGGAGUUAGGGAUAAAGGUGAAAUAGAGGAAAUUGCUAGGAGAUUUUUUCAAAUCUCGACAAAUGGGUUGGCGACACGGAACAUAUUCUAUCUGAGAUGGAACUAUGUAUUUCGAGUGACACAAAUUUAAUGCUAACGACUAGGUAUAUGAAAAAUAAGGUAUAUGCGACUUUGAAGGAUAUAGGCCCGACAAAGGCACCUAGGUUGAUGGUUUUUAGGCUUUAUUUUUUAAAGAUACUGACAUAUUGUUGGAGGCAGUGUAAUCUUUGUACUGUUUGGGUGUCUUGAAUGAAGGUAAGGAAAUAGAUUCUAUGAAUGUUACCAAUAUUAGGCUAAUUUCUAAAGUUUCACAUCCGACAAACCUAGUGAAUUUUAAGCCUAUUAGUUCGUGUAACGUCUUAUACAAAGUGGUACCAAAAAUCAUAGCUAAUCAUUUUCAAAAAUUACUAGAUUUUUGUAUCGAUAGUGCCUAAAAUGCUUUCAUGCUAAGUCAUUUGAUUUCGGAUAAUAUGUUGCUAACAUACGAAAUUUUGCAUACGUUUCGUUAAAAGAGAUUAGGGAAGAAGAGUUUUGUGGGGCUAAAGUUAGAUAUAAGUAAAGCAUAUGACCAGGUUGAAUAGGUUUUUUUAAAGGUGAUGAUGGAAUGAAUGAACUUCGAGAAGAAUUGGGUGGAUAUUAUUAUGAGAUGUGUUACAACGGUUUCAUACUAUAUAAAUAUUAAUGUGAGAGGUGGUGAGAUUUUUAGACCUUCUAGAGGACUUCAAAAAGGGGAUCCAUUAAGCCCUAUUCUAUUUUUAAUUUGUAGUAAAGGUCUAUCCGUUUUCAUCUAUCUGCUUUCAUGAGACUCGUUUUGCAGGAUGAAUUGAUAAAAGGGGCUAAGGCUAGUAGGAGAGGCCCUCAGAUAUCACAUUUGUUAUUUGCAGAUGAUUGUGUUCUUUUUGGAGAAGCAACUAAGAGAGGAGCACAAAUUUUAAAAAAAGUGUUGAAAGAGUACGAGAUUUGUUCAGGGCAGUACAUUAAUUUUAAAAACAUCCACAGUUUUUUAUAAUUCUAACACCUUUGAAAUAGAUAGAGAGCUGAUUUCGCAUACGGGGAGACGGAAAAAAAGCUUUAUUCUAGAUAUUAAAAGACUGUGUUAAAAAGAGGAUUGAUGGUUGGAGUACAAGGUUGCUAUCGGAUGGCAAAGAGGUCUUUAUAAAGUCUAUUUUACAAGCCAUUCCGACGUAUUCAAUGGCUUAGUUUUGUUACCAAAGACGUUGUGUGGGGAAUUAGAGAGUAUUAUGGAGAGGUUUUGGUAGCAGAAGGGGCAUGGAAGGAGGGGGAUUCAUUGGUAUAAAUGGAGUCGGCUAUAUACGUUGAAAGAGGAUGUGGGUUUGGGUUUUCGAAGUUGAGAAAAUUUAACAUAGCACUUCUAACAAAACAGGGAUAGAGACUUAUAAAUUACCUAAAUUCUUUAUUAGCUCAUGAUGUAUAAGCUAUGUCGAAACCUUUUUUGAAAUCGACUUAUAUUUAAAAAAAAUAAAGUUGUCUCAAAUCCUUUUUAUGAGGUGUAAUCGGAUCACCUCGUAAUUUGAUUGUUUUAAUAAAAUGUUUGAUUUACUAAAACAAUAAUUUUUGGUCUAUAAACUUCAGGAAAUGGGUUCAAGAGUUGGUUACGCACGAGGAAGGAUUAGCACCCUCGUGACGCCCAAAAUUGAUACCUAAUUGAUUACUUGAUGUCUUAGUGUCGAGAAUUGAAAUUUUGAAGAGAAUAAAAAAUAUGAUCCCACUUUGCAUAAUGUUAUUUUUAAUUAAACUCACUUGAAUAAAUCAAAACGUAAGUAAAAGGCCCUCUUAUCUUGAGAUAAUAAAAAGGUCAUAUCCUGUAAAUUAGGAUACAUCUCAACUCUUCGAGAAUAAGCUUCCUCUUUAUUUUAAUUACUAUUUAAAUCUCAUGUGUUUUAAUUUCAAAAGGAAUGUCCGGUUAUCUAGGUUUAAAGAGAAAGCCGAACCUCGUAAGUUAGGAUACGACUUUUCGAAUCUCUAAAUACAGAAUAUUACCUUAAUUUUAUAAUUUUCUUUUUUUAUGCAUCGUGCGAGAAACGAACGUAACACUUAAAACGAUAUGCAUGUUACCUAUUCGAGGAUAAUAUACACAUGGAUAAAUGCUUAAACUUAAUGUAUGAUAUAGUGACAGCGAAAUAAUAUAAGAUUGUCAUGUGGGUAGAAUAUUUAUAUUAGAAUCAUAAAUAUCAAAUAAAUGGAUAACUACUAUAAUAAUAAUGUAAAUAUAGCAAUAAUAAGAAUACAAAUUCAUGGCAUUAACAACAAAACAAAUAAACUUAAAAAAAAAAUGAAAGGUGCUUAAUGAAAAGAAAGUAUAAGUAAUAUCAAAUUUAAAUAUUUAAAAAGUAAAAGAAUAAUAAAUAAAUAGAUAGAUAGAUAAAACUAAUAUACGUAAUAUUAAAUUUAAGUAUUUAAGAAGUAAAAGAAUAUUAAACAAAUAAAUAAAUCGAUAAAACAAAUAUAAAUAAUAUUAAAUUUAAGUGUUUAAAAAGUAAAAGAAUAAUAAACGAAUAAAUAAAUCGAUAAAACAAAUAUAAAAGAUGAAAUUAAUUGAAUUAAAAUUUAAACGGAAUUAAAGGUAUAAAGCAUAAUAAAUUAAAUAAUAAAACCGAAUAAGGACUAAAAUUAAAUACGCGUAAAGGAGGAGGGACUAACUGGGAAAUUAUUCUCUAUCCCAAAACGCGUCAUUCCUUAAGGGACCGAAUCGAAACAAAAUUAAAAUCAUAGGGUAUAAAUUAAAAACGAAAAAUGACUGAAUUGAAAAAUAAUUAAAAAGUGAAAGGGCAGAAGGCGUAAUUAGGCCCCCUUUAAAAAACACGCAAAUCUUGAUGGGUCAAGUUGGGUUAGCUAAAAACUACGCCGUUUUGGCGUCUGAGCAAUAAGCCUAAAACGACGUCAUUUUAAUGGACUAUAAAAGUAAAAAAAAAAGUUUAAAAACUCAUUUUUGCAUCUAUUUUAAAAAAAAACCUUAAAAACCCUUUUUUUCUCUCAAUUUUCUUGAAUCCGGCCUAUGUCGAUGACUGUCUACCGCAACUGCCAUCAGUUGCCAACAACAACUUCGCUAUUCCUGGUUGUCGAUUUUUUUUUUGCCUUUUUUCAAUCUUUUAAAAAAAAACCUAUAACCCAAAUCUAAGCCAUAUAUCUUUUGAAAUUUAAAAAAAAAAAAGAGAGCGAGAAGAAAAUGCAAAGGAAAAAAAAACUUUUGGUCUCGCCGUUUUCAUUGGACCUUCACAGAACCCUAAUGAGUUUUAAGACAUUCGAGGCGUCAACGGUAAUCCUCGAUGGCAGCAGAAGGUGGAUCGACAAGUGAAAAAUCCCUUUUUAUAUGUUUUUUUUUUACUUUCCAAAAUGAAACAAAAAUAAAUUACCUUUUUGCUCAAUAUUUUGUAUUCAAUAUGUGUAUAUUUUUUUUCUUUAUGUGUAUAUUCGUUCUUCGUGCGUAAAAAAUUACAUUGGUUGUUGUGACUUUUAUAGGCAAUUUACAUACUAUAUUUUACUAUUGUUUUUUGCUAUUGUUUAGCCACUAUUCUUAACUGUUUCUUAUAGGUAGUGGUUGAUGGUGACAUGCAGUUGGUGGUGAUAAGCUAGGAGCAGCGGCAACUAGAGUUAGGGUGCACAGCACUAGCUAGGGUUUCUUUUUCUUGUUUUUUCCCUAAAUAUUGUUUAAAUUUUGGGUCAUUUGGAUUAUUAAGGUUUUCUGAUUUAGACUUGUAAUUAUAAUAGACUUGAACCGUUUUUUAUUAUUUAUUAUUUAUUAUUUUAGUUUUAUUUAUUAUUUUUUAGUAUUUAGGUUUCGAGCCUGGACUAAAUUGGCCAUUACAAGCUAAAUACUUUUCAAAUUUUGAUUUUUUAAGCGCAAAGACUAGGGAAUCUGUCAUCCUACACUUGGAAAAGCAUUUGGGCAACGAGUGGAUUGUUACAGGAGGGGAUGUGUUGGAACGUUGGUACGAAUAAGAUUUUAAUAGCUUAGGAUGCAUGGAUACCCACGGCAGUCAAUUACAAACUAAGUAGUAGUAUCAAUAAUAACAAUAUAUCUAUGAUUGCGGAGUUGAUUGAUAACAAUAGCAGAGAAUGGAAAAUAGAGGUUAUUGCCAAUACCUUCUCGGAAGCAGAUGCGACCAGGAUACAGUGAAUCCCUUUGGCGAAGGCAAGACACAAUGACAUGUUGGAGAGGAGAGGUGAGCCAUUAGGGGAAAAAACUAUUACAAAGUAGGUUUUUCAAAUCCUAAUGUUAAUUAUUUACAAACCAAUUUUAGAGAAUUUUACAAGAAAUUGUAGAACCUAAAACUCCCGACUAAAAUCAAAAUUACAAUCUGGAGGAUCUCUUCUAAUUUCAUUCCUACUCUAUCAAAUGUGUUACAAGGGAUUAGUGGCCACCCGGUGUAGAGGGGCAGAUGAGACUCUGGACCAUACAUUUCGAGAGUGCCCUAUAAUAGUGAAAGUGUGGACAAUAUUAAAUUUCACAUGGGUUUUGACAAAGGCCAGAUUUGGACAGUAUUGAGUGGCUUGCCUGGGUUGCCAAAGAAAGCUCAACGUUCCAACCAAGGCUAUUCUGUCGUGCUUUAUGGGCUCUUUGGACUGAUAGAAACAAGAGAGUGCAUGCAAGGAAUGCUGCGGGAGAGGUUCUGGUAUCAAGAUCGAUUUUGCAUGAUGAUAUGGGGUUUGUGUCUGCAGCAAAGGCCCUUGCGUUCUCAUGGGCAGUGCAAACGGGGGUGGAAAUGGCUCUCCCUAGUUUUGCUGCGCGAAAAAUGGGGGAUGAAUGGCUAAGAGAACUCGAUUGAGUUGAAGCUUGCGCAGAAAAGGUCCUUAGAGAGAAGAACGUUAAAAAUGGUGAAGUGAAGAUAAGGAAAUGCGUUCUUUGGGAACUGAAACUGACAAACUUGAAACGUGAUAUGCAUUGAUGGGAAUGGGUGUCAGUUAACAGUUUUGAUUGGGCUGAGUUUUCUUUAAUUAAUUUUGACUUGGUUGUUGGGGUGUUUAGUUUUACUCUUAAAGGCUUAGGGUCGGACUGUUUUGCCUUGGGCUGAACUUUUGUCUUUGGGUUAGUUUUAUAUAAUUAAUAAAAGCCCAGUCUGAUAUUAUUUCAAAAAAAAUUCUUAUUUUGAAAAAAAAAUUUAAAACUCUAAAUUUUCCCCUAAAUUUAUUUUUUGUUGCAUUUUUCAAAUCCG
rnacentral:lncRNA from 1 species